CCCUAGAGGAGCCUGUUCCAUAAUCGAUAAACCCCGAUCCACCUCACCCUCUCUUGCUUAGCCUAUAUACCGCCAUCUUCAGCAAACCCUGAUAAAGGUUACAAAGUGAGCACAAACGCCCUGCCGCCGCAAAAACGUUAGGUCAAGGUGUAGCCCAUGAGGGGGGUAAAAAUGGGCUACAUUUUCUACAUCAGAAAACCCCACGAAAACUCUUAUGAAACCUAAGAGUCCAAGGAGGAUUUAGCAGUAAAUUAAGAAUAGAGUGCUUAAUUGAACCAGACCAUAAAGCGCGUACACACCGCCCGUCACUCCCCUCAAAUGUAUCUAAAGGACAUCUUAACUAAACACCCUAAUAUUUACAUAGAGGGGAUAAGUCGUAACAUGGUAAGUGUACUGGAAGGUGCACUUGGAC
rnacentral:rRNA from 1 species